rnacentral:lncRNA from 1 species
AUUAAAUAACUUGCAAGCUGCUAAUUCAGAUAUUAUCCCAAAAUAAUAUUAUCCUAUUCUCUAUAUGUAUGAUAUGGUGUCAGAUUGGUAUAAGUCUCCUUUAUUUGUACUAUUUUUUUUUUUAAAAAAAUCUGGAGAUAAAUGAAACAGCCUAGGUUGAUUACUUAUGCAUAGUAUAUCUGGAGGGUAAGGGCACAAUGAAGAUAUUGCCGUCAAGAAUAUCAAAGAUAGGACUUUGCAAAUAAUCCAAAUUUUAAAUAUUGAGAUUCGUACUUUCUGUUUUGUGAUUGUUAUGGUUUCUCUUUUUUGAGGGAUAUUGAUCUAACAAUUUUCACCUUUUGCUCUCAGUGGCGAUGGACGUGGGUGUUGACGUUUUGCUCUGGUGAUGCUGCAGGUUGCGGCUUGUGGAUAAGCUGAUUUUCUGUUUGAAAAUUGUCGGUCUCUCAGGUUGGUUUUCCUGGUGUUCCUCUCUAUUGUGCAUUGAAAGUCCCCAGAUUUUCUUUGCUUCGGGUUCUGUUUCUUUGCCUCAGGUUAAUUACUUUUCUCUUUCUAGGGUCUGUCUCUAUUUUCUGCUAAAUUUUUCGCUGCCAUGAGAUUUCUCUAUUUCUGUUGGGUGCAGUUAUGGCAUCAGUUAGUGUUAUUGUUGUUCAGUUUUGUAAGGGUGAAGGUGUGAAAAUAUGAUAAUUAGUGCCCACCCUUUGGAUGGCUUACUGUGUAGGCAACCAGUUGGCACCAUUUUCUUGAAAUAUGGACUUGAAAUGGGAGCAUUUUCAGCGUUAAUUGCUGGUUAAAUCUGAGCCUUAUAUAUUUCUUAUUCUCUUUUUACUUUGAUUUUUGUUGGUUAUCGUGGGCUUGAAAUUUUCAUUAUUUGUUAAAUUUUAUUUUACAUUUCAGAGCCUACAUAUUAAAACAUGAUGUUGUAAAGUACUAGAAAAUGUAUAAAUCGUUCGCAUGCAAUUAGUUACUGUAUUUUAUGUUGAAAAAUCUGGUUUAUCCUAUUGUAAUUGUCUUUAUUUAUUUCUUAUCCAGAUUUUGUUGGGAAAAGUUUUGGGUUUUUUUUAUAGUUUGUGAUUCAUAUUCUUGCGUUGAUAUCUUGAAAUAUAUUGACGUAUUGAUGUAAUGUGUCUUGGCUUACAUUGGCUUCUUUUGGUCCUUUUCCUGUUAUGUACAGGUGCAGGGUUGUCUUUGCCAUUUUGUAUCGUUGUUAUUCCUCAGCAUAUAUAUAUAAAAAGUUCUCUAUAAUAACACAGCAAAGAGAAGGCCCAAGAUGCAAUCUUUUAUUCAUACACAAAUUACAUCAAUGGCUUUGCUGCUUCCCUCGAAGAAGAAGAAGCAAUGGAGAUCUCAAGUGAGUAAAAGAGCACCAUUUUAUUUAGGGGAAACUUCAAAAACAUCCCUUGUGGUUUCAAUUUUUUUCGCUUUAGUACCCUGUGGUUUAAAAUGUAUCAAGUUAGUAUCCUGUGGUUUCUUAUUUUAUCACUUUAGUACCCUGUGGUUUUAAUUUUGUAUCAAGUUAGUACCCUGUGGUUUUUCACUUUAUCACUUUAGUACCCUGUGGUUUUAAUUUUGUAUCAAGUUAGUACCCUGUGGUUUUUCACAGGGGAGGUUUUUGAAGUUUUCCCUUUUAUUUAUAUCCCUCUGUUCUCUUUUUGCUAUACUCUGUUUUGAUUUUUUUUAAUAUAUAUAUAUAUAUAUAUAUAUAUAUAUAUAUAUAUAUAUAUAUAUAUAUAUAUAUUGCAGAGGAUUCCAGUGUUGUAUCAGUGUUUCUGCCUAAUCUUUGGAUGGCCUAUCAUGUAGGCAACAGUUGGCGCUGUUUUCUUGAAAUAUGGACUUGAAGUUGGAGCAUUUUUAGUGUUGAUUGCUGAGUAAAUCUGAGUCUUAUAUAUUUCUUAUUCUCUUUUUUAUUUCUAUUGAUUUUAUGUGAUUUGCAUGAUAUGGGGAGAUAGGAUUAUAUAAAGUUAAAUUUCAAUAUAUACAAUUAUUGAAUGCAAAAUAUAAUCCCGUUAUUCUUGGGAUUACAAAAUUUACAUAAUUACAUUCUAGAAAUGUACAAUAUUUGAAUCCAAAUAUUUUCUAUUUAGAGUGGUUGCCAUACUUGAGAGAUUGUCAUUCUUGAGUUUCCACAAUUGCUUAUGAUUAUGUGGCUUGCCAUUUGAUACAAUUUAUUUAUGCUUAGGAGUUGACACAUUUACGGUUACUGCCUAUUAUGUUUUUGCUUAAUUCUUUGUGGUGCCCAAAUUGGAGCAGUUUGGAGCUCCGAGCAGUUUUUAUGUUGGUGGAUGAUUAAAUCUAAGUCCCAACUGUUUUUUCCCCAUUCAAUUUUGAGCUAUUCACUGUGGUGGUUCUUGCUUUUGGGUCAUAAAAAUUGCUGCAGUUUUAGUUAGUAAAAAAUGGAAUGAAAACUCAUUAGUUUAGGCGCAUGUUUUGCAACCUAUCCUUGCUCAACUAUUGGAGAUUUGGUUUGUGCAUUUAUGUGGACACUUUUUAAAAUUAUAUAUAUAUUUUUUUAUUUUCCAGCUAAGACUUAGGUGCUUGGAGGAUCAAUAUUGCAUCUGUUUUCAAAUGUACGUGUACUUUUCCUUUUUAUUUUCCUAUAAAAAAUUUUAAAUACUUUCCUGUUUAUAUACAGUUUUGCUUAUGUGGUCUUUGUAGUUAUCAUUAUUAAAAUCUUAGCAGAUUAUUAAUCUAUUUGGUUUCGUUGUUUGUAGCUUAGCCGUCAUUCUCCUGAUACUUAAGCUGCUAAUAUCAAGAGGACUGGAGUUGUUUACAAAGAAACGCAGGUAUUUUAUCCGUUGAAAGGUUUGGCUUUUACCUUCGGUGGUCACAAUUAGUUAUUUUAUGAGCUAAUACUGUUAUUGUUUUUAAAUUAUAUCUAUAGAGCUUUUUCUUUUUCUUUUUUUUUUUACCAGCUCAACCUUUAGGAGUUUGGAGAGUUUAUGCUGCAUCUGUUUUCGGAAGUAUGUACGAGCCUUAUCUCUGUUUUUUUGGGUUCACAAAUAUCUUAAUUAUCGUCCGUAUUUCUAUAAUGUAAUGACAAAUCAUUCGUAUUUGCAUUAUCCUGCCUUUCUGGUCAAACAUAAUAAUAAUAAUAAUAAUAAUAAUAAUAAUGGCCAAAGUAACAUGAUUUUUUUUGGGUUUUAUCUUUAUUUAAAUUUGAAAUAUAUAUAUGCAUUUUUACUUCAUAUCUUUGGAUAGGAUUCAGAAUUAUUAUUAUUUUAUUAUUACUAUAAUUAUUAGUAUCUUUAUCUUAAUACACAUAAAUUGUUAACUUUACUGUUUUUUAUUUUGAUCCUUAAGCUUUUUUUUGCAAUCAAGUUUUUAAUAUCUUUAUCUUUUUAAACGUGAAUUGUGAACCUUAAAGAAGAUCUCCCUUUAUUUUUAAUGGUUGUGUUCCAACCUUUUUAAUAUUUUUAUUUUAUUUAUCGGUGCGAUAUUCGUAUUUUUAUAUUUGAGUGGUUGGUUUAUGACUACUCUUUGAGGGAAUUAAGACUUGGUUAGUUUAGCUAGCUUUUUGCACUUAGUUGAAUAAUCAGUUUUGGUUCAAAUCUUGCUGAUGCUUGCCCGUAGUGCUUUUUUCUUGGUUGGAUUCAUGCCAUACCUCUGCCUAACUGCCCCCUAUUUUGUAUAUAAAUAGGUUCAUAUUUAGUUCUUAAUUAUAGUACAAAUAAUCUACCUUAUAUUAACUUUUAUUGUUAAUAUUUAUGCUGGGUUUUGAUUCUAUAUACCUUCUAAUCAUCGUAUUAUGAUUCUUUUCUAAAUAGUUUUAGUAAUUUGAUAUGUUCUGAAAAUUAUAUAUUUCUAAGAAAAUAUACUCUUAAGACACGGGGCGAGCUGGAGUGGGUGCGUUCUUUGGUGCACGCGCACGCGGGGGAGUGGGAGUGGGAGUGGGAGUGGGGGCUGGGGCGCAGCCUGGCGUGGAUGCGAGCCCGAGUGUUGUGGGUUGCAUAUAGAAAAAAUUUCUGCAGUUACAUAGUAUUCUGGUUUUGUUCUCCAAGAGAAUUUUCUGGAGAAUUUUUUUUCCUUUUGUUGUAGUUUUAUGUGUUGGCUGACAAAAAAAGGCCUUAUGACUUUAUUUACUGUGUUUUUUUUUUUUCGGACAUUGCUUGAUUUGUAGGGCUUAGCAUUGCGUGACUUACUAUGUAUGAUGGUUUUUUUGCCUUUGAUGCAUAAUAAAAACAAAAAGAUAUUGAUAGUUAUAAUAAUUUACUGUUGUAUUGUUUUUCCGCCGCAUCGCGCGGGUCCGUACCUAGUAUUCGUUUAUUACAUAAUCCUCGUAGAAAACCAAUUCCCCUAGUACGCAUCUCAUCUCAUUCUAGGGAUUUAGUCCACUCCUCCUCCCCACCAAUGUCUCCUCCACACUCUUCUCCUUCCUCUUUCUCUUCCUCCGCUCCCUCCUCUCUCUCCGUGGGAGAAGCAGGGGUCGUAGCAACAAUGGCGUUGUCUUCCUCUUUCGAUCGACUCCCGGAUUGAGAAAUGGGGCCGAGUCCGAGGUGGAUUUUGGUUUGUGAGGGCUUUUGUGGGGUUUGAUCGAAGGGUUUCGGGGAAAUGGUUCGGUCCAAGGUUGCGGUGGAGGAGGAGAUCGAGAAGAGGGCCGUGAGGUAAAAAAAUUUGAUGAGACCCUGGUUUAAUUUGCUGUUUGGAGAUGAAACCCUAAGUAAAGAUUCGAUUUUGGGAAGAGUUUUUAGGUUUUGGGGGUGAAAAUAUGGAGGAGAAUUAAGCUCUUUGCUUUUCUAUGUUAUCAUUAUUGUAUUAUUUAACUAUUGUUUAGCAGAGCUAUCGGAAGAAGCACGGAUUUUUAAUUUUUUCUGCUUUGCUAUAUAGAUGAAACAAAAGCCGCUUAUAACAAUUGCUUCUUGAAGUAGAGAAGCUGGUCCAGAAGCGCUUCCGCUUCUUUCCUUCUUUAUGUUAUUUGUUUAUUCAUUGUUUGUAGUUAAUGCUCUUUGUUUGGUAGAGCUAUUCAGAGAAGCACAGAUACUUUUUUUUAUUAGAAAAGAAACUCUUCGAUAGUUGUGCUAUAUAGCUGAACUAGAAGCCGUUUCGCUAAUGCUUCUUGAAGUAGAGAAGAUGUUUUAAAAGCUUGGCGACAUCAAUAUAUGAUGGUUUACUUGGCCUUUAUUCACAAACUAGUUUUUGUUUUGUAUUCUUUGGACUCGUGUAAUAAGUGUUCUUUUGGCGCAAUUUUUUAAUGUGUUUUUGUGUUUUUUAGUUGAUUAAGUAAAAUUUUUAGAAAUAUUACAUAAUUUUUUUUGGUAUCUAAGCUGAUAGGAACACACACUGCUCAUGGAUUUUAAACAAACAAACAAACAAGAAUGCAUUUUUUUUGUUUUGUAGUAAUAUUUCAAUUAGCAAUUAAAAGUUCUAUCAUUUGUUUAUUCAAAUCACAAUCACAUAUUGACGAGGUACAGAGCUCAUCAUGCGUCCAGUAAUGUUUAUAUCUCAUUUUCACUCGUUUGUGCAUUAAAAAAUAGUGAUCAGAUUCUAUUUGAAAAAAAAAACAGAAUUUUGAAGUAAUUUAGCCUCUCUCUUAUUUAAAUCUUCGCAGGUUUAAAACUGACGAGAAGCAAGACCAGCCUAUACCUGAACAGUCGGUCCCAAAAACCAAAAAACCAGCUUCUAAAAAUGCGGGCCGAAGAUUUCUCAGUUUGUCUAAAUUAUUCUCCGAAGGCCACGAGCCAAGAUCGAAACUAACACUCGAUCCUGACGGUCGUAUUGUGCUCAUAUGGAACCGGAUUUUCCUACUCUCAUGCUUAGCUUCGCUAUGUAUAGACCCUCUAUUCUUCUUCUUACCUUUCGUGGAUGCUACUAAUUGGAGCUUAUGCAUUAGAACGGAUCAGCACUUGAGGAUGGUGCUUACGUACUUUCGGUCUAUUCUCGACUUAUUCUAUAUAGUGCAUAUUGUUGUUAAGUUCCAUAUUGCGUAUGUGGAUCCGAGCUCCAUGGUUCUUGGGAAGGGAGAGCUCGUAAUGGAUCAUAAAAAAAUUGCGAGAAGAUAUAUUAGAUCGGAUUUCUUUGUUGAUCUAAUGGGAGGGUUGCCGUUUCUGCAGGUAACUUUUAGUUUCAAUGCAAAAUUCUCUCCUCUUUAUAAGGGAAUAUCUUAAUUAGACCCUCAUUUUUGCUACUCUCCGUAACUUCUCGGACUUUAUACUCAUUUCAGGGCAUGUGGUUAGGUAUCUUCUUUUAGAGAAACUAAGAAAAGAACAAAAUAUUGUUUCAUUUGGGCUUUUAGUGAAUGAAUUUUGGGAAGCCUCAAGCUCUCACAUAGACAAAAAAAAGCUUCUUAUUUUGUAUUUUGGUUAUUUUACUAGUAUAAAAUAUAAUGGUUUUUUUUUCUUUUUUAAACCCUUGAUGCAGAUUCUCGUCUGGUUUGUAAUGCCCAUGAUCAGUUUUAAUCGCAUAAAUACCCCUUAUCUCCUGAUAAUUUUGAUUCAGUGUACCGUCCGAUUUUACAUAAUAAUUCCUAUAAGCAAACAAAUCAUCAAUGUUGCUGGUUUUAUCGCGAAGACCGCUUGGGGAGGAGCUAUCUACAAUCUACUACUCUACCUGCUGGCAAGCCAUGUAAGCAAAUGUUCUUUGCCGUUCUCAAAUAUUCCAUACUUUUCUUGAUACUUGGGAAGCUGCGAUUCGAUUUAGAAAUGAAAAGGUGUAUCGUCGUGCCCCAAACUAUGGGUCUUAUCGCGAAUCUUUUUUUUAACUUUAGGAAUAUUUAACUUCUGAUGGAAACCUUAUACAAUUUUCUGAAAUUAAACAACAUGUUAGUAGGGGGUUUGAAUAACCAUAAAACUAAUGUGCAAGGAUACAUUUUUGUCCACCUUAGAUUCUUUAGUUCUAUGUCAAUUGAACUUAAAGAAAAUAUCAAGCAUCAAAACCUAUUUUGAUAGGUCGUGGGAUCGAUCUACUAUUUAUUGAUGGUGGAACGACAAGCAACGUGUUGGCAAUCGCAGUGCUUGAUGGAAACCGGCUCCCCAAACACGACUUCUUGUGAAUUUAAGUUUCUUAAUUGUGAAUAUGCUAGUUCGACAGAGGCUCAAAUUUGGGCGAAUACAACGAAUGUGUUCACAAACUGUGAUGCGAGUAACAAAACUAUCCCUUUCAACUACGGCAUAUUUCUUUUGGGAUUGCAAUUCGGUGCUGCUACUGCAUCAUUAUCUGAGAAGUACUUCUACUCUCUAUGGUGGGGCUUUCAACAGUUGAGGUAUAGUUCUAUGUUCUUGGUCUUUAAAAUCUCAAUAAAAGGAUUUAUUAUUUUAUUGGGUUUAUCAUGUUUUAUCUUUCUUAGUUUUUUUUUUUCCAUAGUUUGAACAUGAAUACAUCAUUAAUCGCAUGUGGAAAUGAUGAUAUUAUAUUUUUGGAAUUGUCAUCUGGCUAACAUGGAAAAUCCCCUUUUGUGAAUAUCAUGAUUUGCACUUUGUCCUCUAUACAAUGUUAACGCUUUUUCGUUGCAUCUACUAUGCAAGAACUGUUAGAAAUUAUUGAAAUGCGAUAAAAAAGAAUUAUUUAAAUAAAGUUAUAAUGGGUAUUUAAGAUCAUAUUUCAAUAUUUCCUGGUGAUUAUUAUUCCGGGGGUUAAAUGCAAAUCGUGUAAUCUUUAACGGCUUUUUUUUUUUUUUUUUCUAAAGCACUUAUUAUCCUUCUCUUGAUUUUUUUUCUUUUCUUUUUUCAGCACAUAUGGGAACCCGUUGGUGACAAGCGCUUUCGUUGGUGAAAAUUUAUUCGCCAUCGGACUUACUGUUCUCAGCCUUGGUCUCUUUGCUCAAUUACUUGGUAGCAUGCUGGUAAGUACGAAAUUUCUCUCUCCUCGAACUUUAUCUUUAAUCACAGACCUAAAUAUCACAAUUUUCACUUUGCCCACCUGAAAUACUGCAACCUAUACAUCCAAUUUUUACCAUCGUAAAAAGAAUUCAUCGCUCUGCCUUGUUUGUUGAGCCUUUGUUUAACUUUUUUUUUUUUUUAAUCUGAUUGAUCCUCGAGAGAAUUAGGAAAGAAAGAUAAGAGGCAAAAAAAAAAUCACUCUCUUAACCUAACAUCAAAUUUCUUGUAGAUCUACUUGAGAUCUACAAGCGAAAAUCUCGAAGAGUGGCGGUUGAAGCAAAGAGACACCGAGGAGUGGAUGAAGGAUCACCAGCUCCCCGACAGUAUACAGGAUCGAGUCAGCCGGUUUAUUCAUUACAAGUGGCUCGCGACACGAGGAGUGGAAGAAGAGUCGAUGUUGAAAGCUUUACCUGCCGACCUUCGUCGCGAUAUACAACACCACCUAUGUAUGGAACUCGUUCGACGUGUAAGUGCGGCAAAAAUUAGGAGGUAAAAGUAAAAAAAAAAUGUAUUUCCUUGCUGUGAUUCCAACUCUUUAUGUAAUCGCAGGUUCCGUUCUUCUCGGAGAUGGAUGAUCAACUCCUCGACGCGAUAUGCGAGCGCAUGGUCUCAUUCUUGCGCACCGAGGGCACCUAUAUAAUCCGCGAGGGAGACCCCGUGACCGAGAUGCUCUUCAUAAUCCGCGGGAAGCUAGAGAGCUCCACGACCGACGGGGGCCGUACCGAUUUCUUCAACUCCAUAAUUCUAAAACCCGGGGAUUUCUGCGGGGAGGAGCUCCUCACUUGGGCUUUACUUCCCACCACCGAAUUCAAGUACCUCUUGUCGACAAGAACCGUCAAAACGCUCGUCGAGGUCGAGGCGUUUGCGUUGCGUGCCGAGGAUCUCAAGUUCGUUGCCAACCAGUUCAGAAAACUGCACAGCAAGAGGCUUCAACACACAUUCCGGUUCGAUGAACUUGUUAAAUUAUAUAAAACAACCGUUUUUAAUAUUUAUAUUUAACACCCCCUUUCACGUCUAAGCUCGAAACUUUUUGAUAGGCGUGAGAUGCGGACUUUUAAAUAAAUGAGAGGAGAUUAAAUAACGAUAGUGGCCGGGCGGGACGGACUGUGGAUCUCUUGCUCUGAUAUCAUAUUAAAGAAUGUGAAAUAGUCGUUUCGCCAGAAGCAUAAGAUGCUAGAGAAUGGUGUUUUUAAUUUCUAUAUUCAACAUAACCGUUUGUUCUCUGGUUUGCAAAUGUAUUAUAUUUAACGUGUGGUGGAUUUUGUUCGCUUGUACUCUGAUACCAUGUGAAAAAACUGCUUUAUCUAAAAGCUUAAGCUGUCCGAGAAUGGUAUUUUAAUAUGUUAUGUAUCGACAGGUUCUACUCGUACCAUUGGAGGACGUGGGCUGCGUGCUUCAUACAGGCGGCGUGGCGGAGGCACUGGAGGAAGCAAAUGGAGGCGAAAGAUCAAGAGAGCCCGUGGACGCCGUUCUUCUCGUUGGUGAACGAACAAGUCGCGAUCGAGGCCAGACAAGAAGACGAAGGGCGGAGCCCGAGUUCGCUCAGCGAGGGAGCUGCGCUUCCGGUAACGGUGAUCGCCUCGAUCUUCAGGAAGGCUCAUCCUCAGAAGCCCGACGAGCCGGACUUCUCCGCCGACGAUCACUUCGAGUAGUGCACUGAAUGUUUUUGAGGACUAUAGGAAUCGGCAUUAGUCGGUUAAUUACUCAAAGCAAUUGGGCUUUAGAUUUACAAUAAUGUGGAUUUGGUUUUAGUUUGUGUACAUAUUUGUUAAUGUUUUCGUAUCUUGAAUGAAAAACUUUGGUUUUAAAAAGGAUACUUCUAUGUUAAUUGUGGUUUUGUGGACUAUUUCAUUUGACUUUUUGGUGGGAUAACUUGUGGAUCAAAGGGGUUUAUACAAACCACUUUGAUGUUAAUCAUAGUAUUCGGUGUAGAUGUAGAAUUAAUUAGUGAAAACAACAAGAAAAACAUUCGUCUUUUCAUAUCAAAGUUCGAAAUCUAGUUACUUCAUAUUUUCAGCUAAGUAUAUAUAUAUUUUAAUUUAAAAAGAACAAAGCAAGUAGAAGUUAAAAGAUGCUAAAUAAACAUGGAUUAGUGUUUUUUCUUUUCACCUCCCUACUAAAUAUGAAACACACUAAUCUUAUAUAGUAGUUAGCUUUCAUUUUCUGUCUACUAUAUAAAGAAAGGUUUAAUUAUAAAAAAAUCGCUCAUACAUUUUAAUCCUGUCUCAAAUACUCCCUUGCAUGAAAAAUUGAAAUAAUGACAAUCCUCCACUUUAGUUUUGUCUCAAAUAGGCCCUUCUAUUGGGAUUUCCUGUUAAUUUUAAUGAUGACAUGUUAAGAUAAUAUAUUUUUAAGCCUAUUUAAACUCUUGCAAGCGCACUUUAAGUAGCAAAAUAUAUCCAAGAACAACUAUAAAAAUGUAUUUAUGUGCGAGAAUUUAAGUGUUUCUAAUGUCAAAUGAUCGUGUCGUGUCAUCGCUGCUGCUACUAUUUCAGUCAAAAGUUAACAGAAUCUCCAAAUUAUUUGAUCUAUUUGACAAAGAUGACAUUGUUUAAAUAUUUUAUGUUGAGGGAUAUCUGAGACAAGAUCAUUAAACUUAAAAACAAAAACCAUUACAAGCUUAUAUUAUUUUUGGUUGCUCUACAUUAACAUACUCUUAACUUCAUCCCCCAUUGACUAAUUUCCCUCUUGUAUUAGACUAUUAAGAAGAAAAGAUAAAGGAAAAGAAAAUAGCAAACAAAUCCAGUGAAUAUACAUGAAAAAAAAAUGGCUUGUUAGAGUAGAUAUUUAACAAGUAAAUGUCCUUAAAAAUUUUCUCGAAAAUGACAUAUAGAACAAAUAAAUAUAGUUUGGUUAUUUCGCUCUCUAUAUUAACGCCGUAAUGUUUUAAAAAUAAAUAUAAAAUUUUGAAAGUCAAUGAGAAAAAUCGGAUAUUUAUAGAAAGAUUUGUUGUAUUUUAGCCUUAUUUUAUUAUUAUCAUGAUUUUAUGAUUUCACCUUCAAUAAAAACCUGCCACGUACCCCGAGUUUGUACAGGUGGUUUAGGGUUUAGGGUUUAGGGUUUAGGGUCCCACUCUCAACAUGGAAGCUUCCCAGGUUUAGACUCUCCUCACAUAACUCUCUCUCUCUCUCUCUCUCUCCCCCUCUUAUUGGCUAAUGGAAAAGUUAUCUUGCUGGACCUGGUUUACACAGAGUACAUUACUGGUAAUCCAGCUCGGUGUUCGCCAGCCAACUCGUGUUCGGCUCGAGAUCGAUUGCUCGUUUAAUGUACGAGUUGAACACGAGCUGAAUUCUUCAGCCCGAAAUCUUAAUGAACUGAACAUGAGUUGAAAUUAGCUCGCUCGUGUUUGACUCAAUAUACAUGCUACUAUUUGGAUUUUAGGCAAAUCCAAAAUGCAAAAAGACUUAUAUUUUGCGAAUUUUAAUCGUUAGAUUAAGAUUCUAAUUUUUUUUUUUUUUGAAAUUUUUUCCACAGUAGGACUGACAAUUUUAUUUGCAGUUCGCGAGCUAACUCGUGUUCGGCUUAUGCUUGUUAAUAAAUAAGCCGAACACGAAUUGAGUUUUUCAGCUCGAUAUUUUAACGAGCCAACUCGUGUUCGGCUCGUUUAAUAAACGCGUGAACAUGAGCCGGUCCUAGCUCGCUCUUGUUCAGCUUGUUGAUAGGCCUUCUCGAAAGUGGAGCAGGGUUAAGUUAUCUUCGACCGUAAAUGUUUACUUUUGUUGUUUGGUUUGUCGUAUAUUAAACUAACCAGCAACUCUCUUUAUCAAAAGGGAAAACUUCAAAAAACCCCCCCUGUGGUUUCGUAGUUUCUCACUUUACCUUCUUGUGGUUUAAAAUGUAUCAAUUUGCCCUCUUGUGGUUUCGUUUUUAUCUUUUUCUUAUCAAUUUCAUUAUUUUUUUUCUUAAAUCAGUGAUAAAGUUAAAAAAAGGGUACUAAAGUGAAUAUUUGAUAAAUUUAGAUGAGUAUCUGAAGUUUUUUGUAUAUAAUUUAAUAAAAUAUUAACGAAAAAGCUAUCCAAAGGAUAAAAACAAAACCACAGGGGGGUAACUUGAUACAUUUUAAACCACAGGAGGGUAAAGUGAGAAACUACGAAACUACAGGGUUUUUUUUCAGUUUUCUCUCAAAAUGCACUAGUUGACUUUGCUUUGAGUGGCGGCGAAAUCCAUUACACAAGAGAAAUAUAUACAAAAUUAAUAUUACAUUUUUUUUUUUUAAUCCUCUUAUACGCUAACAAGGAGACAAAAAAGUGAGAUAAUUAUAAUUCUAAAGUCAUUAGCUUUCUCUCAAAGGAACAACAAUGAAAAAUCAAUUUUUACUUAAAUUUUAAUUCAAUUAAAAAGUCAUUUUUUAAUUUGAAACUCAAUUACGAGUGAACAAACAAGGUCCAUUGAAGUUACUUCUCCAUCCUUUUUCUGUAAUAGGGCAUUCCAAAUUUGGUUUUUAGGAAGUUCAGAUACUUAAUCAUGUCUAAUAAUAGGGGCAAUUGCUUAUAUACCCAGGAAAAAUUUUCGACUUUCUGAUACACCCCGCUUAGAAGGUUAAUAUUGAAAAUACCUUUUUUACGUUCCAAUAUAUUUUAAAUAUACUCCUAGAAUUAAAUUUUGUUAAUGAACGACUAGCAAUAGCUGUUAUCUCUAUAAAAUUACUAUUUUGCCAUUUUAAAUAUACCAUUCUACCAUCAGCGACUUUUUUUACUUGCCUUUAAGUUAGGGCAUAAAAAGUAUUUUGAUUUUUGGUAUUUUCAAAUAUACAUUUUUACCAUCACCAGCAUUUUUUAUUUGUCCUUAAGUUAAGAGCAAAAGAGGCAUUUUAAAUUUUUUUACUCUGGUAGAUAUUUAACUCACGUUUAACCCAAGUUAACUAGGUGGUAACUGCAGGAUUAUUUUAGAAUAACGGAGGAAUAUAUGACGGGUAUAUUGGAAAGAAAAAAAUAAAGAUAAAUGAGAUAUUUUUGAAGUUUUGAGAGAUAUAUAGGCAAUUAUGCUCUGCGACGAAAACAACGCGAAAGUAGAUAAGCCUGGUGUAUUACUUGUGGACCAGGUCUAAGGAAAAAAAGGAAAAAAAAAGGGAGAAAAAUCUCUCUUGCUCUUUUUAAGGGCUUUUUUUGCAUUUAAACCCUUGACAAAUUUUUAUUUUAAAAAUAGCACUGUCAAAAUUUAAUUUGCAAAAAUGGCCCUGACCUGCCACGCAGGCGCCACAUUAGCGCCACGCGGGCAGGGCGGGGCCCGUGUGUUAAGUUGAACACGGUGAAUCAUUCACCGUGUUCAAACACGGUAAAUGGUUUACCGUGUUUAGUACGUAUUUUUUGUUACAUAUUUUUUGUAUAUUGAAAAGUGGAAUAAGGAGUAGGGAUGUCAAUAGGUAUGGAUAUCUGAAAUAUUAUUCAAAUUCAAACCUGAAUAAAUUAUAUAUAUAUAUACAUAAUUUAUUUUUGUUUAUUUAUAUAAUAUAUAAAAUAUUUAAUAAUUUUUAUUCCUUAGAUCUUCAUCCAACCCAGCAGGUUUUAAAAAUCUAUACCGUUGGAUGAAGAUCUAAGAAAUAAAAAUUAUUAAAUAUUUUAUAUAUUGUAUAAAUAAACAAAAAUAAAUUACGUAUAUAUAUAUAAUUUAUUCGGGUUUGGAUUCGGAUAAUAUUUCGGAUAUCCAUACCUAUUGACAUCACUACUCCUUAUUCCACUUUUCAAUAUACAAAAAAUACGUAAGAAACACUGUGAACCAUUCACCGUGUUUAGACACGGUGAAUGAUUCACCGUGUUCAACUUAAUACCCUGAUCCUAACCCUGCCCGCGUGGCGCUGACGCGGCGCCUGCGUGGCAGGAACAGGACUAUUUUUGUAAUUUUAAUUUUGAUAGGGCUAUUUUUAAAAUAAAAAUUGCUCGGGAGACUAUUUGCAAAAAAAAGCCCUCUUUUUAAACUUGUGAGAGUUGACUUUGGGUCUUCAUAGCAGUAGUAAUAAUAAAAUAAAAAAAUUAAUACUAGUUUAGAAGCACAAAAUGUCUCCUCAAUUUAUGCCCUAAAUCCUAAAUCGUAAAUCCAAUUUCCACCCUAAAAUCCCAAUAGAUCCUCGUAUUGAAUCGAUCGAGUGUGUGUUUGUUGCGAUAAUUAAGCUCGGGUAUGUUCCGAUCCAAGGUGCAAGAUGAGAUCGAGAUGCAGAGGAGAGCCGCAAGGUGAUUUUUAUUUUUAAAUUUUAAUUUUAAUUUUUUCUAUUUGAUUUGAUUUGAUCUGGUUUCUGUGGAAAAAAAACCCACCUCAAAACCCUAGUUUGAUCUGUGUUUUAUGUGGGAGUUCCCUUAAAUCUGUGAAGAACAUGUGUGUUUUGAACUAGUUGUGGAGCUAAGAUCCUUUUUUGGUAAAAAAAAAAAGUCUCAGAGAACCGACCUCAAAACCCUAAUUUGAUCUGUGUUUAUGUAGGAGUUCCCUUGAAUCUAUGAAGAACAUGUGUGUUUUGAACUAGUUGUCGAGCUAAGAUCCUUUUUUGGUUAAAAGAAAGUCUCAGAAUACCCACCUCAAAACCCUAAUUGAUCUGUGUUUAGAUAAGAGUUUCCUUAAAUCUAUGAAGAACAUGUGUGUUUUGAACUAGUUGUGGAGCUACGAUCCUUUUUUUGGUUAAAAAUUAGUCUCAGAAAACCCACCUCAAAACCCUAAUUGGAUCUGUGUUUAGGUCAAAGUUCCCGUAAAUCUAUGAAGAACAUGUGUUUUGAACUAUUUGUGGAGCUAAGAUCCUUAUUUAGUUAAAAACAAAGUCUUAGAACCACCUGAACUUUGCUUGAUUUGCAAUUUACUAUCUGAACUUUAAAACGUUGAAAAUUUAUUACUAGAACAAUAAUUCUGUUGCAAUCUACAACAAGACCCUUAAGUUCCUUAAUUUGGUCAGAUGCCCGUCGUUCGCGGGGUUGUGAGUCAAAUUUUGAGUGAAAUGACUAGCAUGCCAAAUUCCGUAGUUAAUUUUUCGAAUGGAUAUCUAGCCAAUUCGAUGAAAAACGGGGGUUUUGUUAUGGAUUGCAGCAGAAUCAUUCUCUAGGUGGUUGAUUGUGACAUAUUUUAGUUCGUGCAUUGAAUCACAAAUUGCGCAAUGUUUAGGUGGUGGUUUUGGGACUUUUUAGCCCUAUUGUAGAGCUACACAACCAUGGAUUAUUUAGAGGUUAAAUAUGUGGAGUUCUCUUGCGUUGUAAUUGAUUGUAAUUUUGGAGAUUUAGUCGAGUGAAAAGAAAUACAAAUGCCUGUGAAUCCUUUUGAAGUAAUAGGACGUGGGGACUAUUGAUUGUUGCUGAAGUUCUGAGGAUUGUAUGAUGUUUUUCUUUUUUUCAAUUGAAAAGUAGAUAUUGUGUGGUAUUUCCUACACCUAAGGAUGUAAUUGUACCACUAACAUGUCAUUUCAAAUUCUUGGAUCACAUUAAAAUAUUGUGAUUUUGACUUGGGUGGCAUGCUUCGCUAAUUAGAAACAUCCGAACCUGGCUAUUUUUUAGGACAUUUUAUGUUUUGAGUUCUUAUAUAACUUGACGCUUCUUUGGCCUAGCUUCUAGAACGGCUUUUUUGUUAUUUUUGUUGUGGCAAGAAGCUGAAAUGAGAUUCUGACCAGAAGCAGAAUCCUGUAGGGUGCUAUUAGGAGGUGAGGGUGGGCGUGGGUUAGUUGCGAUUGGGUCAAAAAAGUUGAACAUGCUCUGAACACCUCAAUGCAAACGAUGCUUUUUAUAUAACCUUAUCUAUGCUAUACUGGCCAUUUAUUAAUAUUACAUCUUCUCAUUGAUACUUACCCCUUUUACUUCUACUUAAAUUGGUAGGACCUUGCUUCUAGUUAGCUUUUCAACUCAAAAAGUAGAUGUCGGUUGCUUAGCAAACAAAAGAUUUAAAGGUUUUGGUUUUGUUGGAAGCUGAACUGCUAAAAUGACCUUCUAGUCGCCAAAAGCAAAAGCUCCAAAUUGAAGCUUCUAGCUAUAGCAAGAAGAUGUACGGUGAAUUUACUCGAAUGCUUUUUACUGCUUGUUCAAACAGUUCAACUCAACCAACGUUUUCUCUAAAACCUCUAAUCAUGCCUAACAAGCCCUUUAUUAUUUCUAUAUACUCUUGAAAACUUUUCAUGUUGAUGCUUACCCUUCUCUUUUUAUGUCCACAAUUACAGGGUCUUUCCUGAUGAGAAGCAAAACCAAGCUAAACCCAUGUAUCAAGUCGCAAGAGCCGAUAAAUUUGGCACCAGUAAAUUAGAUGGAAGAAACCCCAUAAAGCCUAAAGUAUGGGUUGAGACCAAUGAGCCAUGGCACAGAUUAAUCUUAGACCCCGGAAGUAAUAUAGUUCUAACAUGGAACCGGGUUUACCUCAUGACGUGCUUGUUUGCUCUUUUUAUAGACCCCUUCUUCUAUUACUUACCCUUCGUUAGGGUCGAUAAUAAUUCUUCAUGCGUUAGACUGGAUGAACGAUUACGUAUUACUGUAACUGUUCUUCGAUCUUUAGCCGAUGUAUUCUAUAUGCUGAAUAUGGUUAUAAAGUUUCGAACGGCGUAUGUUGCGCCGAACACGAGAGUGCUUGGGAAGGGAGAGCUUGUAACUGAUCCUAAAGAAAUUCGAAGGAGAUAUUUAAGAUCCGAUUUCUUCAUAGAUCUAGUCGCGGCAGUGCCUCUUCCACAGGUAUGUCCUAAGUUUCUGAAGUGGAGAUGUUAGCUAUUUGUAAUAUCGUCUAGUUAUGAAAAAUAUUCUUGUCAGCACUGAAUUACUCUUAGGCGUAGUUUGGAAUAAGCAGGAAUUAACUUCUCAAAUACCAGUGUGUAUGCAUAUUUUCUAGUCAGCACAUUGCUCUAUUUCUCAACUUAAGAGGUGUUUGGUUCCUUAGAAAAGUGUGGAAAACUAUUUGCUAGAAAUGGAAAACACUCUUUUCCGCAGUUUUCAUUUUCUGGAUUAAAAAAAUUCAGAAAAUGACACUACUUUUUCAUGAAAUCUGCAAAAAGGUUUUCAAGGAAAGCUACAUUUCCUAGGAACCAAACCGACGGAAAAUACUUUUCCAGCCAGAACACUAUUCCCUUGGAUUAUUUCCAGGAAACCAAACAUCACUUCAUCGAUUGUUGUUUUUGCGCUUCCUUUCUACAGGUUGUCCUCUGGUUCAUAAUGCCCGCGAUAAGUAGCCCGAAUUACAAUAUCAAAAACACCACAUUUGGCCUUGUUAUUGUGGUUCAGUAUAUAAUUAGAAUGUAUCUUAUAGUUCCCUUAAGCAAUCAGAUUAUUAAAGCUGCUGGAGUUGUCGCAAAGACCGCCUGGGGAGGAGCUGCAUAUAAUCUACUACUCUACAUGUUGGCGAGCCAUGUAUGUCAUAGUAUUCAAUAUAUACUCCUGCAAAAUCAUUUAUUUACACAUUCGUCCCUGCAAAAUCCUAAUUUCCAUAUUUGCCCUUCAGAAAUUUGAUUUCCUACAUGUAAACCAUUAUACGUACAAAACCAGCUUCUCAUAAGGGCACUUUUGGAAGAAGCCGCACUUUCAAAGUGCUUAUAUGAAACUCGGAUUUUUAUAGGGUAUAUAAGUACAAAAUGCAACUUCAGAGAUUCUAAAAUUGAGAUCCAAACCAUUAAAUUAAAUAUGAUCAAGAACAUCUAAAAUAGCUACUCAUAAAAUUUUACGCAUUUUGAAAAACUGAUUUCCUAGCCAUCAAGUAGUAUCAAAAUCAAUGGUUUAUUAUUUUUAACAAAGGGCAAUUUUAGAAACACAAGAUGUAGUUUCCGAAAAUUAUAUUUAACGGUUUAGAUAUUCAUUUGGAGGCCCGUAUAGUUAAAUUUUAGCUUGUAUAAGAAGUGUGUAACUUAAAAGUGUGUAACUAGUUCCUAACUAUAUCAAUAUAACUAGUAUCCUGAUCAUAUAUAUAUAGUAAUUUAUAUAUAUAUAUAUAUAUUAUUAUAUAUAUAGUAAUAUAGUUGAGCUAGAAUACUCUCAAAGCACCAAAGAGGUUGGUCUUUUGAGUUUUUAACCUUUGGAUGGAGAAAUGUAAUGUGUGUAUGUAAUGUGUGUUAUGUAUAUAUAUUAUAAUAUAUUAUAUAAUAUAUAGAUAGAGAGAGAGAGAGAGGAGCGGAGAGAGAGAGAGAAGAGCAGGGCUGCUGUGCUCUCAGGAGCCGGAGGCCUCCGAUUCCUUGAGUCGUUUCGAUGAUGGAAUUUUCGAAUCGACGAUCGGGCUCCGUUAGACUUGAUCUAGGUAUUUGAAGUUUUCUAGAAAUAAUUUUUGCAAGUUUUUGUAUCAUGUACCUAGUGAUCGAAAGGAUUCAAAUCAAUAAUUUUUAAUGGUUUGAUAUCUGGCCGUUUUCAAGUUUAAUGGUGUAGAAGUAUUCAAAUCAGAUAUGAAUUUUGAUUACAAAUUCUUUAUCUAUCUACAACAAGACAAUAUUUCUGAUUGAAAAUUUUAGUGCUAAUCAUCACACUUUUUAUAGAAGAUUUUAUUUUCAGCCGUUAAAAAUUAUUGAUUUUGAAUCCUUUCGAUUGCUAGGUAAGAUGAUAUCGAAAAGUUGAAAAAUUAUUUUCUAGAAAUUUCAAAUACGCGUAGAUCAAGUCUUAACCGAGCCCGAAUCGUCGAUUCGGAAAUUCCAUCAUCGUGAAAAACGAUCUCCUGAGAAGCACCAAGCAGUCUUGGCUCUAUAUAUAUAUAUAUAUAUAUAUAUAUAUAUAUAUAUAUAUAUAGUUGAGCUAGAAUACUCUCAAAAGCACCAAGAGAUUGGUGCUUUUGAGUUUUUAACCCUUGGAUGGAGAAAUGUAAUGUAUAUAUAGAGUUGAGCUAGAAUACUCUCAAAAGCACCAAGAGGUUGGAGCUUUUGAGUUUUUAACCUUUGGAUGGAGAAAUAUAAGAUUGGGAUGAUGUUGGUAGGUGAUGGUAGGUGGAAUAGUGUUUGAUCCAAAGACUAUUAGUAAUCAAGGAGUAGAUCCAAGGGCAAAAAACCUAGAAGCAAAAAUGGGGUGAUACUUCUAAAAGUAUUCUAGCUCAAUUCUAUAUAUAUAUAUAUAUAUAUAUAUGUAUAUAUAUAUAUAUGGAGUGAGGCUGGUAUAUUUCUAGAAGCAUGGAACUCGGGCUCCGUGCUUCCAAGUCGUUUUCGAUGUUCGGAUUUUCGAAUCGACGAUCGGCUCCAUUAGACUUGAUCUAGAGUAUUUGAAGUAUCUAGAAAAUAAAUUUUGCGAUUUUUCGAUACCAUUUGCCUAGUGAUCGAAAGGGGUCAAAAUUAACGGCUGAAAAUAAAAAUCUUACAAAAUGUGAUGAUAUGACAUUAAAUUUUAGAUCAAAGAUAUUGAUCUUGUUUUAUAUAUUAUAAAGAAUUUUCUAACAAAAUUUCAUGUUAUUUGAAUAUUUCUACAUCGUUAAACUUGCAAACGGCUCACCGCGGCCGUUAAAAUUAUUGAUUUUGAGCCCCUUCGAUCAUUAGGCAAAUGAUAUUGAAAAAUCACAAAAUUUAUUUUCUAGAUACUUCAAAUACUCUAAAUCAAGUCUAACGGAGCCGAUCGUCGAUUCGAAAGCCCCAACAUCGAAAACAAUUUGGAAGCACGGAGGGUUCCGUGCUUCCAGAAGCAUACCAGCCUCUUUCUCUCUCUCUCUCUCUCUCUCUAUAUAUAUAUAUAUAUAUAUAUAUAUGUAUGUAUGUAUGUAUGUAUGUAUGUAUGUGUGCUAAUAGACAAUCUUUUUGGGAUAUAAAUGUGAAAGUACCACUAUUUUCUUUUUUUUGGUCAUCUUCGAUGCAAUCUAACAAAGCCUCUUUUUGAUUGAUCAUAUACAACUGCAGAUCACAGGAGCAAUAUAUUAUCUCCUCACUGUUGAACGGCAAAUAACGUGUUGGAACUCGGAAUGCUCGAGGGAAAGCGCUUCCUCAAAUGUGACUUGUCAUCUUAAAUAUUUGAAUUGUGAUUAUACCGAUUCGAGUGACUACCAAAAUUGGGCCAACAGCACGGGUGUGUUUUCGAACUGUAAUGCCGGCAAUCAAAGUAUCAACUUCAAGUACGGGAUAUUCCUGCUUGCAUUGAACGAUGGGGCUGUUUCGACAAAUUUCCUCGAGAAAUACUUCUACUGUCUCUGGUGGGGUCUGCAACAGUUGAGGUGUGAAUCAUUUUACAUAUAUACCCUUCAAAAACAUGAUCUAUCAAAGUCCAGUAGUGAAAUUAUUGUACAACAAUAGUUGGUUUUAGUAGGACAAUGCCUAUUUAUCCAAUAUUUAAGUUCCAGUUUUUUUUUUUUUAUUUAUUUUUUUUAUUUUAACCUACGUAGCCCUGCAAAUUUAUCUAUAUACAUGCCCAUGAAACUACGUAUUUAAAGGUAUAUAUACAUAUAUUCUGAUUUUACACGACAAUAUAUAGAAACAGAUGAUUUUUGCAGGGAUAUAUGUAUACAAAAGGCCCUGUUUAUAGAUUAUUCUGGCUUUUUUUUUUUUUAAUUUAUGAAGAAUCUGUUGUGUCUUUCGCCAGUUCGAGUGGGAACCCUCUGAUUACGAGCACUUUCAUCGCGGAAAAUACGUUUGCCAUCGCAAUUGGAGCCAUUAGUCUUGUACUGUUUGCUCAGCUGAUUGGCAACAUGCAGGUGACAUAUCGUUUUGUACUUUCGAAAAAUAUUUAUUUUUCCUUUCUGUUUCUUGCUGCUGCUUUAAUUACCGCGUAAAUUUCAUUUGAUUUGAGUUAUGGUUUGUCGUUAAUUUAAUAUCUUCAUAUUUCCUUUCUCGUAAAAGUUGAGAAACAUCGUCUUUUUUUUUUUUUUCGGUAGACCUACUUACAAUCGAUCAGCAAACGACUCGAAGAGUGGAGGCUGCGGCAAAGAGACACCGAGGAGUGGAUGAGGCAUCACCAACUUCCCGACGAUCUCCAAGAGCGGGUCCGCCGGUUCGUUCAGGUGAAGUGGCUCGCGACGCGAGGCGUGGAUGAAGAGACUAUCCUAAUAGCUUUACCUGCGGAUAUUCGUCGCGACGUGCAACGCCACCUCUGCUUGGACCUAGUUCGACGGGUAAUAAGCGUGCUAAAGUUACGGCGUAUUCUCUAUUCUUCGAAAGCUAAAAUUCGAGUUCCAAAACACAGUAGUUAAUUUAUCUUCUUUUUUUUUGCAUGUAGGUUCCUUUUUUCUCAGAGAUGGAUGAUCAACUCCUCGACGCCAUCUGCGAGCGGCUAGUCUCCUCCCUGUGCCCCGAGGGAACAUUCAUCGCCCGUGAGGGCGACCCCGUGAACGAAAUGCUCUUCAUAAUCCGGGGGAAACUAGAGAGUUCUACGACCAACGGCGGCCGAACCAACUUCUUCAACUCAAUAAUCCUACGGCCCGGCGAUUUCUGCGGCGAGGAGCUCCUAACAUGGGCCCUGCUCCCCAAAACCAACGUAAACUUACCCACUUCGACGCGGACCGUAAAAGCCCUAACCGAAGUCGAGGCCUUCGCCUUGCGAGCAGAAGACUUGAAAUUCGUCGCGAACCAAUUCAGGAGGCUGCACAGCAAGAAACUGCAGCAUACAUUCCGGUUUUACUCUCACCAGUGGCGGCUGUGGGCGGCGUGCUUUAUCCAGGCGGCGUGGCGGCAGUACCGGAGGAGGAAAACGGCCGAGAGCUUAAGUCGGUGGGAGGAGUACUCAUGGUGGGAGGAUCAAGAGAGCAACUACAAACCGGAGAACGAGAAUGCGAGGCCGGGCUCGAGCGCGAUUAUUGAAAAGUUGGGAUCCAUUUCGCGGAGGUUUUUGGCCGACGAUACUGAACUGGCCAGGCUGCAGAAGCCGGACGAGCCCGAUUUCUCCGCAGAUCACUUCGAUUAGGAGCUCUGAAUCGGAAACCGGUCGCACUGGUGUUCGGAAAAGGGGUUCUUGGUGUAAUAUUGUUGGAUCUUUAUACUUGUUGUUGGUCUUAUUGUUCUGAAUGCAUAAGCUCCAAUUUAAAACUUCGGAAGUUACUUUUUGCGAGGGAUUAAUGAACUGGGGAUUGUUUGUAUCUUGUACAGUGUGAACAUCUUGAGGAAGCAAGAAUAUUGUGAAAAUUAAUGUUGUGUUGCUACAUAGUUGAUAGAUUUGUUUUCUUGACCAUUUAUUGUCGAGAAUUUCGGGGACUCGGAUUCGGGCUAUGAGGGCUAUAAAUGCGGGCGCAGAGACAAUAAUGUGUUUGAAGUAGUUUCGGUAUGUUUCAAGUCGAAAAUUUUCAACCAUUCUAAAGGUUAUAGCGUGUUUUAGAAGAUCAAGUUCAAAUAGAACUUUUGAAAAUAUUGGAACUGGGACAACAUAUAAAAGUUAAACUUUUACAGGAAUAUAUUUGUCAUUCACUAUAUUUGUAGGGAUCUGUAUAAAAUUAAUCAAAAAAAAAAAGAAUUAUGCGGUAACAAAGGCAAGUUAUUGACCUUUUAAUAUAUAUAUAUGUCGAUUUGUAUAGACGUUCUAAACGAACCACAUUUCGAAAUAACAUUCCAAGUAAUCUUUUGCCCCUCAUACCGUGUUUUUAUGAAACUAGUGAAUCAUGUUUUAGCACUCGUAUUACGCAGCAUAACGUAUCCCGUUCCAGACAAUGUUGGUUUUAAUACAAAACGAGGGGUUUUCGAGCAUUCAUUAGAAGGCAAAGAUGACGUUGCCAUGAAUGUGGAGUGUAGGAUCAAGUUGAAUCCUCAUUAAGAGGAACUAACCAACCCUUAUUCUCUUCCUAAACAUCGUGGUUUCUUAUUCUUAAACUCCAAAUAAUUGUCCAAUUGGUUCUUUAUGUGAAAGAACCGUUGUACUCUAAAAAUUUAAGCUGUUAGAGAACGGUGUUUAAACAUUUUUAUAUUUAACACUCCCCCUCACGUAUAGGUUCGAAACUUUUUAAUCGGCCCAUGACGUGGGCUUGAAUUAAAUGGGAGGAAAUUAAUAUAUUAGGAGCCUGGCGUGACUCGAACUCAGGACCUCCUGCUCUGAUACCAUGUGAAACAACCGUUGUACUCUAAAAAGCUUAAGCUAUUAGAGAACGGUAUUUCAAUAUUUUUAUAUUUAACACUUUAUAUUAAAAUGGUACCGUUUGGUUCGGAUAUAAGUAAGAACUAGCUAUUAGAGGGAUAGGUAUAAGUAUGGGGAUAAGAAAAAUAGUGUUUGGAUGAAAAUUGGGUUGUUCCCCGGGAUAAGAACAAUUUUAGGUAGUUUUAUAUAAAAAAUGGAGCUGUUGGUGGGGAUAACCGAGAACUACUAUUCUCGGAUAAAAAAUUAGCGUUUGGAUAUAAAAAGGGGGAUAAGGGCCUAUUCCUAUUCCUACCUCCUAACCAAAUGCUGUGUUGUUCGGCUUGUUUUUGGGACGACCAGAACUGAACUGCUUCUCAACUCAAGAAAGCAGAAGUUCCCAAAUACUAAAGUGUGGUAGAAAGCUAAUAUGAGCCUCUUUUUUUUUUUUUUUGUUCCAAAAGCAGAAGGUCCAAUAAGAACCUUUUGCUUAUAUUGAAGUGAGAAGCUGCUGUAAAGGGGAUUCUAAUAAAUUAUUUCUGCUUCUUCGGAUAGCUCUACUGAAACAACUAUUCUGAAGAGCGCUAGCAAUGCCAAACAAUCCCCUAACGAGUUCUACAAAUGAUUCCAACAUUUACUAACUCAAGUGGCUUCAAAUUCCUUUGCGGCGAUGUGCUACGGAUCCGUCAAAUUUUGACGAACUUGAUAUGGUAAGAAUACGAGAGGAAGGCGACAACGUCUUCCCUUCUUUGAUCCUCUUUUUUUUAAAUUUUUGCAUUUGAAUUUUGAAGUUCUUGUGCAUGAUCUUUGCAAUGAUGUAGCAUUAUGGAUAACGCAAAUAGCAAAUGAAAAUCGUAAUCUUUUUUUUUUUUUCUUUUUUUCAUACAUGUGUUUAGAGUAACUGGAUAGAAACCGAAUAAUGCAACAUUCUAUGCUGGUCUCUGACUAAUAGAUAAUUUAUUCUUUUGACUAAAAACUGUACUACAAAAGCUCAGGGACUAAAUCACAAUAUCAGAAAAUACACGGACUACCCAGAAAACAAAGCUUCAGAAUUUUGCAAAUAAGCCCAUCUUUGUGCAAUGGUUUCAGAAAAUUUUGAUGUGUAAGUUUCAGAUUUUUUCCCCCCCUUUUUAUUUAAAUUACUCUUCAAAUUAAUGAUGCAAGCAGUUUGUCAGAUGUGACUCGAAAUCUACUAUCGUUUCAGGUUCGGGUUUACGACUCACCGACAGCUUCGCGGUGCGACCAAUUUGGAAAAAAAAAUUAUGGAGGAAAAAUGAAUGUCUGUGGUGGGUAGCGGAGGGCUCGGGCCAACCGCUGACAUUCGCCAGGGUACGGAUCGGAUCCGAAACCCAUUAUGAGUUUUCCUUUUUUUCAUUUUUGCCCUAGAGGCGUGUGAUCGUGGUCGGUUGUAAUCUGAAGAACAUUGUAUUCCCUUUUCGUUCCACAGUGAAGUUCUCUCCUUCCUCGCCCUUGGUUUUUUCCUUGCAAAUGAUUUUUUCAUGUAAAUCUGUGUUUCUUUAUUUUCUGCUUGUGGUUUGAUUGUUUUUGUGUUCGUCAUUUUGUUUCCGUUUGUGCGUUUGUCGUAACACAGUUCAAGAAAUCGGAUUAAGCUGUCCAAAUGCAAACUUCUGCUGUUCACUCACCCUUCCACUAAUUAAAUACAACUUUUUCAUUUAGUUUUUUGAGUUAGUUUCUCAAUAGAGAGAUACAUCACAAUUGUAUGCUAAAACAAUAUCCUGAAUCCAUUAGAACUAAUUUUGCAGCAACGCAGUAAAGUUUACGCACGAAGGAAAAGUGGGGAUAAAACUUCAUGUAUCCAAUCUGAAACAUGAACAAGAUCUAAAUCAAAGGUGUAUUCAGACUCGAAGUUCCUCGUCGCCUAGCAAAGAUGCUGAGGAGCAAAUUGUGUGGCUACGUUACGACGUAUACGACACCGGUAUCGGCAUUCCUGGUAUGAAUUUAACUCUUUUGUUCUUAUACUCUCUAAAGCUACCAUACUGGCUCCUGCAGAUUAUUUCAUUACUCUUCUUUUUCGGAACAGUUUUGUUUCAUUACCAGAAAAGAAAAGGCUCUACCUUCAUUGUUCAAAAGUUAUACGCAAGCAAGCGAUGAUCAUGCACGAAAGUGCGGCGGCACCGGUCUCGGCCUUGCUAUCUGCAAACAAUUGGUAAUAUGUACUCAUUUUUAAAAAUUUACACUUUAUAGAUUCUUACAUGUUUUCUCAUUUUAUGUUUCCGAUCAUGCAUCAAUUAUAUAGCAUUUCGAAGUAGGAUGUUGAGUUUUGUUUCUUACUUUUCAUUUUCUUUUACUCGCCUUUAUUUGAGUUAUUUUGUCGCGUAAAUUUAACGGCGUUACCAUCUUUUUCGCUGACGGAACUGCAACAGAGCCAUUAAUUCAAUGAAAUCCUCAUGAAAUUGAUGGAACAACUCAAACCAACGUGAACAAGGGUGCGUCGAUAAAAGAAAACAUAAAGUUUUGGGUCCUAUUAUAAAAGAAAACAUGCAAUUAGUGAACUAACUUUGUGAGUACAUCUAAAACAGGUGGAACUAAUGGGUGGUAGUCUCACUGUGGUCAGUAAAGAGCACCGUGGUUCAACGUUUACAUUCGUAUUACCUUGUAAAGUUCCUAUAAUGGAGGAGCCCUCAGACGAUCCCGAUUCUUUAGCAAACCACCAUGUUGGUGAUCUCAAUGGAUCAUUCAUUUUUGAGCCAAAAUUCGACGCUUUUAAUGCUUCUAGUCGCGUGUCAGAGAAGCCCGAUUCAUGGUCUUGGAAAGAUCACAAAUCAAGCGAAGGUGUUUUCGGUGAAAGUGCUUCCUCUAUAUGAGGGUCUUCGAGUCCAAAAGGUUUUGGAUUCGCAAAUUGAUUCAUCAUCAAGUGUACGAGAUAACGGGGCCGAGGAUAAAAACCAUAGAAUUAAUAACUCUCAGUGUGCAUCUACCAGCGGUUCUCUGAAAAUUCUCCUUGUGGAGGAUAACAGGAUCAACAUAAUGGUGGCGACGUCGAUGAAUAACGGAUUAGAUGUGAUUCGUGUUGGGAAUCCGGUACUCGCCCCGGUACCGGAUCUCGUGAAUCCGCAACCCGUUUCGAUACCGACUGCUGUGGAUCCGGUAUCGAUUGUUGGGAUUCCGCAACGGAAGCGUCGAAUCGGGUUUUUACCAUAAGCUCGUCUCCUCAGCAAAAGCUGAUACAAUCAUAAAAGAGAGAAAAAACCAAAUCAGAAAAUAUGCGGGUAAAAUAAGAUUCAUUAAAUAAGAAAAGAUUACACCUGACUCCUCUUCUGCACAGAGUAGCUACAACCCGAGCCCUCUUUCUGAAUCUUUUCUAUCUUUCUCUCGCCUUCUAUAAACCCAUAAAGAAGACAAUCCUUCACAUACACCCGUGCACUCAAAGCAUAAUUAAAUAACUCUCUCUCUGGUACGGCAACCCAAGAGACUCUCUCUCUCUCUCUCCCGUACUUCACAUCAAAAGCAAACCCACAAAGAGCUAUUUAUAAGGCUCCACUAAAAUGUACCCCAAUCCUAAUAUAUUUAGAAUUUCUAUUCCAAUUAAUAUCUAAAUCUAUCUUAAUUAAUCUCUAAUAGAUUUAAAUAUUAAUCCUAAUCUAGUUAGGUUUAUCCUCUAAUUAAUAUUUAAAAUUUAAUUUAUCUCCAACAGAUUUAAAUAUUAAUUCUUAUCUAAAUAGGAUUCAACUACAAAUCUAACCAAAUCCUAACAAUUCGAGCAGUUCAGCGGUCAGGAUACGAUCUUAUUUUGAUGGUAAGAUGCUACAUUUGUUUUAGUUCUCAUUUCUGAAUCGUAAUUUUACAUUUCAUUCUUGUUUCCUUUUCAUUUCCACUACAUUUUACCCAUAUUGCGCAUCGAACUUUUUAACUUCAACCUCAUCUACGAAAAUAAUUAUUUAGAUAACGAUUAUAUUUGCAGCAUAAAAGAGCAUUCACAUUUGCUUGUAUUUCCCUGCGAAAUCUGAAUUUUCAUGUAUACCUCUCGAAACCGCAGUUUCUUGAAUAAGAUACUCUUAUCAAUCCAAAACUUAUGUAAGAAAUGAACAUUUUGAAAUAGAUUACUUUGCAUCAUCAUAUACGUAUGCAAAUAUCUGUGUUCCCCUUUCGUAGCAUGCCGAGUAUAAUAAUCUCUUAUUAACCCUUGCGAAAGGAUGUGUUAUGAGGCACUACACAAAACAAUGCAACAAACUCUACUGUAAAAAUCCAACUAAAUCCUACUCUUAAAUCAAAUUGAAUAGAAAAUUUAUGCAAAUGGCAUGAUGAUUGCGUUGCGAGAAACUCUAAUGAGUGUCGAUAAAUUAAGGUGUUUAUGUUUUUGUUUUGGAGGAUGUUUGCAUGCCAGUAAUGAAUGGCCUGCAAGCCGCCAAAUUGAUUCGCGCUUUCGAAGAAAGCGGCUACUGGGAUGCCUUGGUCUGGCCCGGAGACGAGUCGAAUGAGGCCUGUGCGGCUUUCUCGACGAAUGAUUCGAUUGCGGGAUGACGAAGGAAGAGGAUUCCAGUUAUUGCAGUAAGUCUCUCUCUCUCUCUCUCUCUCUCUCUUCUCUGAAAAGAGGUUGUAGGACUCGCUAGCAAUAAUAACUCGUUGGACCUAAACCAUCGGUCUAAACUGCGUAAGUCCAGUUAUCAUUAUUAGGGUGCGUAGCCGAUGUGGGGACUAUUGGGGAUUACCGGUGGGACUAUUAGGGAUUACCAGGGGCUUAUCAGUGAGACUAUUAGGGAUUACCAGGCGAUAUAAGAUUCUCUAUGUGUAGCACUUUGCCCCGCAUAACACUUAACUCUCACACUUCAGGCUGGUAUUCGGAUACUAAUUGUAAUGAUCCUGCCCGCUAGUAUUAAUAACUCGUUGGGCCCAAAACAUCGGCUCAAAAUGCUUAAGCUCAGCUAUUGUUAUUCGCGUGCAAGGCCUCAUAUAUUUUCAAUCAAAAUUUUUAGUCCCAUCCGAUACGAGACUAUUAAGGCGUUACAGAGGCCAAGCAAGAACAAAAUCGCAGAAUAAGAGGAAACAAUUUACGGUCAUGUCUAACUUUUUUCUGCUCAUAAAUUUCAGAUGACUGCAAAUGCAUUGGCAGAGAGCGCCGUCGAAUGCCUCGCCGGCGGUAUGGAUUCGUACAUGUCGAAGCCCGUAAAGUUUCAAAAAUUGAAACAAUGCCUCCAACAAUACUUGCCAUCUCAAACAGUUGAUUAAUUCUUGUACGUGAAGAAGAAAAUUUUGGGAGGUUAAAUCCUUUUUCUUUUUUUUCUUUUUCUUUUUUCUAUUUUUGGGUUUGUGUGUGUGUUCAUCAAUCUCUUUUAUAAUGUGCAUUCUGAGACCAAGUCCUAAAUGUAGAGUUUCGUCGAUGUAACUCGACAAACUAUUAUUAGGCUUCACAUAUUUGUUCUUGUAUGAAUCAGAGAAUAAACAGAUAAAUCAAUGCAUAGUUUUUACAUGUAAUUUUUGUUUCCUGAGAAGAUUUUGCAGAUAUAAAGAGUAAAUUGUAUUGUAUCAGAAACUCUAACCUUUCAAUUGUUACAAUUGAUACAAUUUUACACUCUAAUUAAUUUGCUUGGUUAAAUUUGAUUGCAAAGUUAGGGGGUGUUUGGCCUAGCUUUUAAAAAGCGCUUUUGGACUGAAAAGUAAUUUUCGGCUCAAUAGAGCGUUUGGCAAUUCAUUUUUAAAAUCUGAUUCUGUUUUUUAGAAUCAGAAAACUACUUUUGAAGGCCCCAGAAUCAGAAGCAGGAAAAAGCUGCUUCUUAAAAUCUGAUUCUGAUUUUGGAUUUAAACUUCAAUUUUUUAUUUUUACUUUAAUUUCAAUAUUUAAAUUUAAAUUUAAUUUUAAAUUUUAAUUUUCAAAUUUAUUUUUAAAUUUUUAAAUUUUAAACUUUAAAUUUUAAAAAAUAGAUUUCAAACUUUAAAUAUUAAAUUUUAAUUUUAAAUAUCAAAUCUAAAAUUUUAAAUUUCAAAUUUCAAAUUUUAGAUUAAAUUUAAAUUUUAACAUUUUAGAUUUUAAAAUUUAAAUUUUAAAAUUUAAAAAUUUUAAAAUUUAAAUUACAAGUUUUAAUCUUCAAAUUAUAAAUUUNNNNNNNNNNNNNNNNNNNNNNNNCAAAUUUUAAAUUUUGUACAAUUUUGAAAUUUAAAUAUUUUAAUUUUAAUUCAAAUUUAAAUUUAGAUUUUAAAUUAUUUUAAAAUAAAAAUUAAUAAAAAUAUUAAUUUAUGCAAACAUAAAAAAAAAUUUGCCAAACAGUUUUUCAAAAUCACUUCAGAAAAAUCACUUUUAUCUAAACUCCGUUAAACGCUCUAUAGCUUUUAACUAAAAUCACUUCUCCAAAUCAAAAUCACUUUUUCAGAAAUCACUUUUUCAGAAGCUAGGCCUAACAAGCCCUUAAUGCAAUCACCAUGUGAGGAAGUUGAAAUGUUGCUUAUGUAUCAUUUUGAUGCUAAAUUAUGUGGAAAUUUUUGUCCAAUUUGAGAGAGAAAUUUACCUUCCUGUUACAAACAAUAAAAGUUAAAAGGGACAAUUGACAAUAUAUCCCUGUAAAGUUAGAAUAUUGCAUAUUUGUCACUCUGAGCUUUAAUAUAUUAUAUAAACAUCCCUUGACUAGUCAAAAACCACCAUAUUUUACUUAAAAAACAGAUCAAAUGACCUUAAUAAAGAGUGAUAGAGCUAGAUCUCAGUGUUCCGAUUGGUCGUUAUUAUUGAUCACAAUAAGAGCAAAAUAGUCAUAGUACUAAAAUAUGAAAAGUUUUGACUAGUCCAAGUAUAUAUUUGCGAGUCUAGAGAGAGAAAACAUGUAACUUCCCCACUUUGUGGGGUUUAUAGAUGCAUUUACUCCAUUUUUUUUAAAAUAGUUGCUAAUAAAUUUUGAUUUUUGUGGCAAAUUAAACAUUCUGAGUUUGCUAUAUAGUUGUUAGCGCAUAAAAUUUCCGUAUUUGGUCAUCGGCUCAACUUACGUGAUCAAAAUGGUACGUGGUGCUCUGAGGGCCCAAAAGAAGUGAGCCAAAGACAAAUAAGUUUUGAGCGGGAAUAGUUGAGAGGCGUGAAGGUAGUUUUUGUUGGCUUAAAUGGGUCAGCAUCCUGCCCUGUGGCGGAAGGCCAUGUGGGUCGAGUCAUGUUCGAAAUGGCGUGAGGCUGGGUUGGGCCGAGUCAUGUUCGAAGUGGCGUGAGGCCAAGUGGGCCGAGUCACAAUCGAGACCCGUGGGCGCUGUUUCUGUACGCUUUAAGUGAAUUGGUUGCGUAUUUCUAACAGCUCGAGCUUUUGGGAUUAAUGGUUAGCGCCAACGAUCCGACAGUUUUAUAAUCGAAAAAACAUGAACAGAGUAUUUCCCACGGAGUGACAACUGUUCAAUAACUACUGAGCAACUAAAGUUGGAAGAUAAGCCUAUAAAUAGCAGAAAGUUGCCGGUAGUAAUGAGUGGUCUUUUCCCGAAUUGAAGAUCAUCAUUUUAAGCUUCUUUUUUCUAUUCCCAGCAUUUACUUGUAUUUUCUAGAAGUAGCUUUAGCCUUAUAGUCUUUAAUACUUAGUUUUAGCCUAGAAUUUUGUAAACCGAGCCCUCGUGCUCUUUCCCUUGUAGCUUUCAAAGAUUUUCUAAGAUUGUUUUAAUGAAGUUCAUUUACUUCGACUCUCACUUCAACAGAAUCUAUGCAAAAUUUUGGGUUUAAUUCGUCUCUAAAAAAUUUUUACGUAUUGAGAAGAAACAUAGUCGAGCAGAUCCCUCUUCAACCCAUGGCUUGAUUUUAUCAGUCAAUCAGUCAACAUUUUGAGAGCUGAGGGUCAUCUCUUAAGCCGAGUUGAAAGUCAAGCGUGCUUUGACUCGGUCAACGUUUGACUCGAUCAACUGAUUUGGGAAUUAUUCGACCCAGGCUAACAAUAGUAGUAUUAAAUCAUACCAAUUUGUCAUGUAACUUUUAAUACAAUCGACAAAUCCACUCAUCACUGAUUCCUUUGCUUUUAUUGAGAGAGGCAUUCUCUCUUCCUAGCUUUUUGUCUUCUUUCUUUUUUUCUUUUGAACUAAACUGGAGUACUAUUAAUAGCACUAAGUUAUUGGUGCUAUUAGAUUUUCGACCUUUGGAUUAAGAAAUGUACGGUUAGGAUGAUAAUGAUGCCCUAGGGUUCAGUGGGUGGUUGGUUAAAUAGUAUAAUCUAACGGAUGAAAAUAAUCAAAAUGAUAAAUCUAACGUCAGAAAACUUGGUAACACAAAGUGUUUAGUGCUACUGAUAGCAUUAUAGCCGGACUCUUUUCUUUUUCAAAUUCUAUCUGUUUGAAUGUGAUGGGAGACUCCAACAAAUCUCACUAGUUAUUAUUGUAAAAGUAUGCUAUUGUUUAGAAUAAGUGGGACAUAUAGUUUGGCCUCAUUCCACUGUGACAACACUAAUUUUUUCAUCUUAUUCCAUGAAUAAUCCAAAAGAUAUUCUCUUAUUAGUUUGGUGUUAUUAUACUAUUUAAAGGUGGAAAAUGUAUAGAAAUUAUCUCACCUGUCGCCCAUUUUCAUCUUGACUAUCUAAUCUUUAAAGAUUUUGAUUUUUCUACCUAAAUUUUGAUUCUUUUUUUUAAAAAAAAAAUUUGAGUCAAUUAAUAACUCUUUAACUUUAAAUUUUGAAUACGUCAUUUAUCUUUACAAAUUUAAUUAAUAUAAUUUAUAUAAUUUAUGUGACUAUAAAUUCAUCAAAGUAGACAAGCGUAAAGUUUGUAUUAGAAGAAUUAUUAAAUGGCUUAAAUUAAAACAAUGGAGUGAUUGUGUGCUAAAAUUAAUAUUUUAGAAGAUUAGGUAGUCCAACAAAAUGGUCUGUAGUUUGGGUAAGUUCUACACAUUUUCACCAUAAUGUAAAUUAAUAGGUGAAAAUGUAUGAUAAUCCCCCCUCGUCUAAACGCAACUUUGGAAAUAGCCCCCUCAACUUCAUUAUUUUGAUUGAACCAUCUUUACUUUUUGAUUUCUGAGAAUCAAGUAAUUUUAGCCAAAUAAAUGAUGGGUUUUAUUGAAUUUAUUUAUGGCUCUAUCAAAUUCAAAUUCAAUGGUUUAAAAUCACUUUGUAGCAAAUAAGAGUUGAAGAAUCAAAGAUUAAUAUCUAGUAGAGUCACUAAAUUUGAUAAAAGUUUUUUUACUUUAUAACUAAGUAGAAGAACUCAAGCAAAACAAAAAAAAAAUAAAAACUUACAAAACUUACCUGAACUAUGGAUCAUUUUGAUUCGACUACUCAACCUAACAAUUUAUUUGAUUUGAGUCAAUCAACGGUACUUUGACUUUAAAACUUAACCUAAUUAAUUACUUAUUUUAAUGAGCUUACAGUUGCGAGAAUUGCAUAAAAUAUACUCUUAAAUUUGUAAAGAUAAACGAUACAUUCAAAUUUAAGUCAAAAUACCAUUGACUGACUCAAACCAAAUAGAUUGAAAAAUUAGAUAGUAAAAUUAAUAUUUUGAAAAAUGAUUAGUAAGAUCAAAAUGGUACGUAAUUCAGAUAUGUUCUAGAUGUUUUUACAAAAUAUAAAAGAUAAAGGGUUGUUUAUAAAAAAAAAAAAGGUAAAAUGUUGAGUAAAAGAGCUUUUUCAAAAUGGCAUAUUAAUGGCUCAGAUUAAAGAAAUAUAAGUCAAUGUGAUUAGUGCUUAAACAGUUAAAACCCACCAAUAAUUUCAGUAAAAAAAAGUUGCUUACAACAGCAUUAAGUGGUUUUCAUUAUGGUGAUGUAAAAGCUAAUUGGAGACUUACAUUGAGUCAAUGAAAAAAAGAUUUGCUCAUGCUUCUAGAGAAGUUUAACAUUGUUAGGGUAUACUAGAAAAAGGCAAUAUUAGUUGUACACCUAAAAAUGGAUGUAUAUUUUAUACCCAAUUCAUCCACUAGAUGGGUAGGAUUACAAAUGUCUACAUGUCGAAUUUGGUACGGAUUUUCAAAAACUUGAAACGAAAUCCGAAACCCAAAAUCUGAACCCGAACUCGAAUAUUGACGGAUUUUAAAAAUUCAUAUCCCAAUCGAACCCAAAUUCGAAAAUCGGAAUCCGAAACAAUUAUUCCUCUUUGCCAUAUUUCAAGUCUAAAUUUUCAAAAUACAAAUUCAAAUAUAACAUCAAAUGAUAUAUAUUAUUAUAAUGUAAAAUCUAUUUUGGUUCGGGUCAGGUAUAGACAAAAUUUAUGUUUGAAUUCAAAUCUAUCAGAUUUUUAUUUUUUAUACGCAUAUUGGAUAAAUCUGCUCAGUUCGGGCUCAGGUUUGGAUUCGAGUUCGACUAAAAUUUUUGAUAUCCAUAUUCAUUAAAAUUGCUUGGUAAGGUGUAAGAUAUACACCCGAUUUAGGAUGUACAAUAAUAUUUAUCUUAAUCAUAUGAGUGUUAUUCCCCGCUAUCCGGAAAAAAAUAAAAAAUAAAAAAUUCAGAAACAGCUUUCUAGCCGGAAAAGUAUUUUCCAUAUAUUUGGUAUCCACAAAUUUUUUUUUGCUUUUUUUUUUUAAGAUUUUAUGAAUAAGUUUUUUAUUUUGUUUUUUACAUUUCUUAUUCGAAAAAUAAAAAUUAUGAAAAGAAUAUUUUUCAUAAAAAAAUUUAAAAAAUCAAUUUCUCGAGUUUUUAAAUAACGCGUAUAGGGCACGAAACUCCCGAUUUUAGAAUAACUAAGAGUGAAAAACGCUUAUUCAAAGAAUCAUUACAUGAAAAGCAUUAAAUGGUCCAAUCAUUUCAAAAUGAAGAUAAUGUUCAAAAAAAGGAAAUCAAACUUAAUUUCCCUUCACAUAUCUUCUCCAAUACACAAACCAAGUCCUUCUCCUCUACGGCAGUUUAGCGAAAUUAGAACUAAACACUAAAAGAGGUCUUUGACUGCACGUAGUUGCAACUGUACUGCAGUUAUAACUAUAUGAAAUUUCAAAUCCGGUGUCUGGUUUAAGGAUCGUUUGGUUUGAUGUGAUUAAAAAUACAGUGUAGUUGGAGAUGCAGGAGUUAUAACUAUAAAUAUUUGGAUCGUUUGGUUUGAUGUGAUUAAAAAUACAGUAUAAUUGAAGAUGCAGCAGUUAUAACUAUAAAUAUUUUGUUUGGAUGAAUGCAAUAGAAAAACGUUGUAAUCAUAAGUAAUUUGUUUAAUUGUAUGUAGUUGAGAAAUGCGUUUGUAAACUAUUAUCAAAUUAUAUAUAUGAUGGAGAAAUUACCUUCGAUGUAAAAAAGAAAAAAAAAUAUUUAUAGUUAUAACUGCUGCAACUAUAAAUAUUUUGUUUGGAUGAAUGCAAUAGAAAAACGUUGUAAUCAUAAGUAAUUUGUUUAAUUGUAUGUAGUUGAGAAAUGCGUUUGUAAACUAUUAUCAAAUUAUAUAUAUGAUGGAGAAAUUACCUUCGAUGUAAAAAAGAAAAAAAAAUUGGUUUAAAAAGUAACUAAAGAGGAAAGCUUACCGCUUGUUUAAAGUUAGGGUAAACUUCAAAUAUCAUUCCUGUGGUUUUGCACUUUCUCAUUUUAGUAACCUGUAAUUUAAAGUGUAUCAAUUUAGUAUUCUGUGGUUUCAUUUUUUUUUAUUUUCGUCAAUCCCUCUGUUAAUUUUUUGUUAAAUCAUAUACAAAAAAUUUCGAAUACCCUACCUAUUAUUUUUCGAAUAUUUACUUCAGUACCAUUUAGUUUUAACUUUAUCACUGAUUUAACCAAAAAUACUAGUAGAGAGAUAACAAAAAAAGAAAAAUAAAAUCAUAGGAUACGUAAGUGAUAGACUUUAAACCACAUGGUACUAAAGUGAGAAAGUGUGAAAGCACAGUGGUGGUAUUUGAUGUUUUCCCUUAAAGUUACUCACUCCAGCAGUUUCAACUGGGCUUCUUCGUGCAAGUCCAACUACAAAAGUUGAAUUCAAAUGCAUCGAAUUAAACACCGAAUAUGAAUUUGCAUGUAAUUACAACUGUAGUACAGUUGCAACUACAUGCAAUCAAACAAUCCCUUAAUGCGGUUGAGUUUAACUGUUGCAGUUAAAACUAUAUGAGGAAGCCUAAUUGCAACGGUCAGAACUACGCUUAAAUUAGUUGUAAUUCCAACUGUAGCAGCUAGAGAGAGCAACUUUAAACAAAAAAGUAAACUUACCUCUCUAAUUAUUUUUAAAACAGAAAAUAUUUUCUUUUCUACAUUAGUGGUAAUCUCACUACCAUGAAUAUAAAGUGAUAAGAUUUUUCAAAUGCGCUUCUCAAUUAUAUACAACUAAAUAAAUGAUUUAUAGUUACAGUAUUUUCUACUGCAUCCAACCAAAUAAAAUACACGUAAUUAUAACUGUUAUAUUUUUAACUGUAUAUAUCUUCAACUAUUGUAUUUUUAAUUACAUAUAGUCAAAUAGUCCCUAGAAGGGGAUGUUUGGUUUUCGAAAAAGCAUGGAUUUUUUUUUUUUUUGAAAACAAAUUUGCAUAAAAAACACCUUUUCAUAAUUUUUAUUUUUCAGAUAAACAAUUGCAAAAAACAAAAAAUUACUUUUUAAUACAUUUAAUUUUUUUUUGGAAAAAAUUAUUUUCUUAUGAACCAAACGGAUGAAAAAUACUUUUCACAAUUUAACACAUUUUUAUUUUGUCAUCUUAUGGUCAAAAAGUUACACAUAAUUACCUUAUAAUUUUAUUCUAGCUUCGUCCUUA